AUGGAUCGUUCAUACCUUCA
rnacentral:misc_RNA from 1 species